UUCCACAUAAAGAUGCAAACUCAGAAGAACAAGUAACAAGAAAGUACAAUUUUCAUCAAAUAAGCAGUUUCAAAACAUGUUAUAGAAAAGUGCCAUUAUAAGUACAGUUUAAGUGCUACCAUUUGUUAGUGCUACAGUUUGCUAGUGUUUUAGUCAAGGUAGAGUCUAAAUGGAUCCAUGUGUGUCUGUGCACAGUGUGCGUGAGAUUUUCAAAAAGGCUCCUUUCCCACCGGCAGAAAUGAUUCAAAUGUUGCAAGUAUUCAAAAACACGAUUGCCUGGGACAUAAGUGUUUCCUACUGAAAUUUCUUUUGCGCUUCUGAUUGGAAAACACAAACUUCUCUGAAGUGUAUUAAAGCUCCUUUACUCCCCAAGACGUUUAGUCCAAUCUUCCUACUCCUGAGUGACAUUUAUUUUACUUAGUUUUACAGAUGCAGGUCAACAUUUAAUUAUUCAUUAUUGAAGAAAUCUUUUUUUAAAUUGUUUUAAUUGUUUUUGAUGUCAUUGUUCUAAGCCUUAUAUGUGAAAUGUGAUGUAUAGAUAGAUUUCAAUUAUUUUUUUGGAUGUGAGACACCUCUUCCUUUCCUCUCUCUCGAUAUGGGGCAUCAUUUGGACAUCACUUGGCCUGCCGAGGUCACACACGCGACUAAAAGUACGUCACUUUUGAUGAAAGAUAAACCACAUGUAAUGUAAUAUAAUGGAUUAAACCACGUGUGUGUAAUGAUUUAAUCUACGGCUUACUGGGUGCGUUUGAUGAAAUCAUCUAAAUGGUGAUACUGCAAAACAAGAUCAUCUUUGUUUGUGAAGAAGCUCAGCCUGUAAGAUCAUAAAUCAAUUAUUGCCAUUAUAAAUCAUUUUUUGUGUAGCCAGUGAGGAAAUGUCCCUCCUGAGCUACUAUAGAUUCAGGUCAGCCUUGGCACCUCCUACUUCCUGGUUCACCAAUUAGACAGGCUGUAAAAGCUUCACGUAAUGAAGCUGUGUCAGCAUGCUUGUCCCUUUCGCUGUUGCACUCUGGCUUGAGAAUUCCGAGAGCAGCUCGUCAGGGCCCAGGUGCAGGAGGCUCAAAGUCCAGGCUGCGAUUGAGCGCUUGAGGCUCAACAGUGUGGCUACCCAGGUGGUGGUGAAGUAGAUGGCCCCAAAAAUGGAAACGGCAAUGCAAAAUGGAUUUUAAAAAAGCAAGGCGAACCCCUGACUGCGAUACACGGACCAAGAUUUUUGCUAUUCCCUUCUUUAAAUUUCAAUUCAAUUACUGAACUUCAGGAUUUGGGGAAUAUUAAGAUGCCAACCAGGUGUAACAUGUUUGACCUUCCUUUUGUGGAGUCACCCUGUUAGGUGAGGGGGCAAAGUAACCCUUCAUUUUUUUUAAUAUUGUAGUUUUUUUUUUUUUUUACUCAUUUCUGUUUGUUCCAUAUGCUUUGGGCAAGAAACGUAGUGGUGGAGUACAAAAACGUCAGAGACUUGGGUUAUUAACAACACUACCACAGGGACGCAGCUCUUAUCGCCAACGGAAAGCUUUUAAUGAUUUGAAUGGCUUGGUAGUCCAAAAUUAUGGUGCUGUAUGUUCUGUAGUGUAAAUUGCUUGAAUUGUAUGUGCGUACCCUGUAAAAAUGCACUGUAAAUGCACAUGUCUGUGGACAGUAAUUAAAACCGCUUUAAAGAACCGUCAUCUUGACUGAAAAUGAUUUUUGUUCCACAAUGACAAAUGGGAGUGUUCUAAAGAUUCAUUUUAAUGGAUAUUCAAAAUUGUACAAUGUAGUGCUGUUGGAAUAUUGACUCUGAAAUUCGAACACUUCAAUGUAACCCCCACCCUCUAUGUUAGGGCCUUGGUGUUAAAAUGUAUUCCUUUUUUACAAUUGUACUUUAAUUUUGACUGUAGAUUAAUAGUUAAUGUAUUCUGGAAUCUUGUAGGAACCACCUGCGAUUGCUGAUUAUGGGUGGUCGACCUCAAAUGACGGAACCAUCAAGGUUAAAGGAAGCUUAUGGAUCUUGGGUAGCAGAUGGGCGAGGCUUGGGCUCUUCAUCCAGGGUGGUCAAGAGAACAUAACGGGCUCCCUGAAGUCAAGCUAAUUCUGCCUCCUGUGAGAAGUGUCGAAAUGACCUCUGCCCUCCAGCUGACUUGGGGUUUUGGUGAGGUUAGUAUCUUUUCCUCAGUACUGUUUUGUAACACUUGUUGGGCAGGCUGUUUGAUGGCUCUAAUAACAUGUGCCUCUAACUGACUCCUCAGUACUGCCUUUGUUAUGCUUUCAGGCAAAGUACUGUUGUGUUCUCUGGAUGGUCCUACAUCAACCUAAACGGCUCGUGCUUCAGGGCCUCCAAGAAGUGGUCCAGCAGCUUCAGCCUCCUGUGGACUGAGCCGUUUGAGCAAAAGUUAAGACUUUUUUUUUUUUUCCCCCAGUCUUUUUGUCAUUAAAGUUGUGGCACAACUUUGAUUCUAUUGUAUGGCCCAAAGAACUAUUUUGGCUCUUUGCACUGUAACAUGAAAUAGUAAAUGGCAAAAAAUUGGUACACUAAAGUCAUUUCUGCUGAAUUUGUUGCCCAUACUGAAUGAAAAUUAGUAAAGAACUUUCUGCUGCGCAAAUUUAUGAAGCUAAUCAUUUCAAGAAACUUUUACUUGCAACGAUGAGGGAGGAGAAACUUCCCGAAGAUACUCCGCUGCACGUAUGCGCAUUUUACCGCCGCAGACGUGAUUUCCGUUGAGGCGGAUGCUAGAAGUGUGAAGAAAGCGCUGCUCAGUCCAGAAGGUAAGUUUCAGCUACCCUUGCACGAUAAAAUGUUAGUUGAUUUAGCAAACUUACUCUGCAAUUUGCCAGUCUUAACUGUUUGCGGUGAACUUGUUUUUAAAGUCUAGCUUGAAUGUUAACGGCUAGACUGUCACACAUGGAAUCCUCUAAAAUAACAUUAAAUAUAAAUUGCCUUUCAGCAAACUGCAUGCUUAAUAGCAGGUUCAAUGAUAUUUGUCAAUCUUCCAGCUAACGCUUGAAUUCGGUAUAAAUGGUUUUUAUUUUUGUCUAUGGUAGUGUAACGCAUGAUUUUGAAAGGAGCAACCUCAUCAGGAAAUAUUCCCAGUUAUCAGUUUAGCAAUUUAGUAACCUU